rnacentral:misc_RNA from 1 species
UCUCCGUAGGUGAACCUGCGGAGGGAUCAUUACCGAGUGAGGGCGAAACGCCCGACCUCCCACCCCAUGUGAUUAUACCGUGUUGCCUCGGGGGCGACCCUGCCGUUCGCGGCGUGGGGCCCCCGGAGCCCAUCAAACCCUGCGUAACUAAGUCGUCGGAGUUUAAACAAAUUAAACAAAACUUUCAACAACGGAUCUCUUGGUUCGGGCAUCGAUGAAGAACGCAGC